GCCCCCUCGGCACCCCACUGUUUUCCUUUUUUGCACCUGAGCUUGAUGCUUAGCGUUUAGCGGUUGCUUUAAAAAAUGAAAGAACAAAGUGAUCUUGCCACAUUAUUGAUUUUGUUUGCGAGGCCGGGCAAAGUAGGCUACGCUAAUUUACUUACUCCAGCUUGGGUUUCCCUCCAAGAAAAUAGCCUUUAAAUCGUAAACUUAAGGUGGAGAAAGUCCGUCUAACAAGUAAUUUACAACACCCUUUUUGUGGCCCGCAUAAAGCAUUUCGCUCGUAAAAAUCCCCCAUCCAAAUGGAACAAUUCAAAGCCCCCAAAGUGGCUAACACAUACACAUUGAUGGCUGGAGCAGCCGCAGAGCGAAUCGGCCAAAAUUGGAUUACAAACUUCGCUGAGCAGAAAUAAAUCACUUGACUUUCCAUAAA
rnacentral:sRNA from 1 species